GCAAGUCGAACGGUAACAUGAAGUGCUUGCACUUUGAUGUCGAGUGGCGCACGGGUGCGUAACGCGUCUACACUAUACCUUUUACAGAGGGAUAGCCCAGAGAAAUUUGGAUUAAUACCUCAUAGUAUGUUAAAGUGGCAUCACUUAAACAUUAAAGCUCCGGCGGUAAGAGAUGAGUAUGCGUUCUAUUAGCUAGUAGGUAGGGUAAUGGCUUACCAAGGCAACGAUAGAUAGGGGCCCUGAGAGGGGGAUC
rnacentral:rRNA from 1 species